rnacentral:rRNA from 1 species
UGGGGAAUUUUCCGCAAUGGGCGAAAGCCUGACGGAGCAAUACCGCGUGAGGGAGGAAGGCUCUUGGGUUGUAAACCUCUUUUCUCAAGGAAGAACAAAAUGACGGUACUUGAGGAAUAAGCAUCGGCUAACUCCGUGCCAGCAGCCGCGGUAAUACGGAGGAUGCAAGCGUUAUCCGGAAUGAUUGGGCGUAAAGCGUCCGCAGGUGGUUAUGCAAGUCUACUGUUAAAGAGUGAAGCUUAACUUCAUAAGGGCCGUGGAUACUGCAUGACUAGAGUGCGGUCGGGGGAGAGGGAAUUCCUGGGUUAGCGGUGAAAUGCGUAGAGAUCAGGAAGAACACCGGUGGCGAAAGCGCUCUGCCAGGGCGAAACUGACGCUGAGGGACGAAAGCUAGGGGAGCGAAUGGGAUUAGAUACCCCCGUAGGCC